AUUGAACGCUGGCGGCAGGCCUAACACAUGCAAGUCGAACGAGUGGCGGACGGGUGAGUAAUGUCUGGGAAACUGCCUGAUGGAGGGGGAUAACUCCUGGAAACGGUAGCUAAUACCGCAUACCAUCGGAUGUGCCCAGAUGGGAUUAGCUAGUAGGUGGGGUAAAGGCUCACCUAGGCGACGAUCCCUAGCUGGUCUGAGAGGAUGCCCAGCCAGACUGGAACUGAGACACGGUCCAGACUACGAAGGGAGGCAGCAGUGGGGAAUAUUGCACAAUGGGCGAAAGCCGGAUGCAGCCAUGCCGCGUGUAUGAAGAAGGCCUGCGGGUGGGAAAGUACUUUCAGCGGGGAGGCGUUACCCGCAGAAGAAGCACCGGCUAACUCCGUGCCAGCAGCCGCGGUAAUUC
rnacentral:rRNA from 1 species